rnacentral:misc_RNA from 1 species
AGCUUGAGUUAGCUUUGGAGUACUGUUCAAGCCAACACUUCCAGCAAUGCAAUUGGAUGUGAAAUUCCACAUUUUGAUAGCAAAGGCAAGUAACUUGUGAAAGCAGAAUCACAUUCUCAUUCUAUGCCUAUAGAAAAUGAACUCAAUAACCAUUAACUCAUACCAUGAAGGCCUCCCCUUGCUAUUAUUAGCACCAUUAACAAUCAGUGCACCAACCAGUGAUACUUGAUCCAGGAAAAAAAAAAACAAAAAAAGAAGAAAAAGAGGGUGAUUCAAAUAAAACCCUCUGCUCUUCGUCUCCCUCUUUCUCUGAAAC